UGCUGACAUAUGCAAAUUAGGCAAAUGCAUUAAUUAAGCAUGCAAAUAGCUGAUUUUUCGGGAAAAUUGUAACUUUGCGUGAAUAGUUAAGGGGCUUAAACUAAACCAAAUUGUCUGAAAUUUUGUACAGUAAUUAAAAUCCCGACAAAUUUUCCAUCUGUCAACUCAAAAUAUGAUUGCAGCUUUUAAAUUUUGUGCGCGAGCCAUUUUUAGUUUGUUGGAAAAGACACACACCCCCCUGGUUCACAAAAUUUAAGUUCGAGAAAUUUUUUUCAUUAUUUUACAUUAUAAGUACCCAAAGAAGCUAUAUAUA
rnacentral:lncRNA from 1 species